rnacentral:rRNA from 1 species
GAAAGAUGGCUUUGGCUAUCACUCUGGGAUGGACCUGCGGUGCAUUAGCUAGUUGGUAAGGUAACGGCUUACCAAGGCGAUGAUGCAUAGCCGAGUUGAGAGACUGAUCGGCCACAAUGGAACUGAGACACGGUCCAUACUCCUACGGGAGGCAGCAGUAGGGAAUCUUCCACAAUGGGCGCAAGCCUGAUGGAGCAACACCGCGUGAGUGAAGAAGGGUUUCGGCUCGUAAAGCUCUGUUGUUGGAGAAGAACGUGCGUGAGAGUAACUGUUCACGCAGUGACGGUAUCCAACCAGAAAGUCACGGCUAACUACGUGCCAGCAGCCGCGGUAAUACGUAGGUGGCAAGCGUUAUCCGGAUUUAUUGGGCGUAAAGCGAGCGCAGGCGGCUGCUUAGGUCUGAUGUGAAAGCCUUCGGCUUAACCGAAGAAGUGCAUCGGAAACCGGGCGACUUGAGUGCAGAAGAGGACAGUGGAACUCCAUGUGUGGCGGUGGAAUGCGUAGAUAUAUGGAAGAACACCAGUGGCGAAGGCGGCUGUCUGGUCUGCAACUGACGCUGAGGCUCGAAAGCAUGGGUAGCGAACAGGAUUAGAUACCCUGGUAGUCCAUGCCGUAAACGAUGAGUGCUAGGUGUUGGAGGGUUUCCGCCCUUCA